UAUCUUUGUCGCAGUUUUGUUCCGACCAGGUUCCGAUGCGGACCUGCGGAUGAAAAGGGAAUCGGGUGAAAGUCCCGGACAGUCCCGCUGCUGUAAGCUCCCUGAAGAGCCGUUUCCAUCCCCUCUUGCCACUGCCCGGAAAUCGUUGACGGGUGGGAAGGCGGAAACGACCGGAGUAAGUCAGAAGACCUGCAAAACGAAAGUCAUGCUUG
rnacentral:ncRNA from 20 species